GUUUCGUUAGCAGUUGUCUGAGCAGCUUGUGAAGCAACGUUGU
rnacentral:sRNA from 1 species